rnacentral:rRNA from 1 species
UACACAGUGAUCCGCCCGGGAACUACGAACAAAAGUUUAAAACCCAAAGGACUUGGCGGUGCUUAAUAUCCACCUAGAGGAGCCUGUUCUAUAACCGAUAAUCCCCGUUCAACCUCACCCCCCCUUGCCAACAACCCGCUUAUAUACCGCCAUCGUCAGUCCACCCUAUGAAGGCCCCACAGUCGACAAAAUCGGGACAACCCCAAACGUUAGGUCGAGGUGUAGCGUAUGGGGCGGGAAGAAAUGGGCUACAUUUGCUACACCAGCAUAUUACGAACAUUAUAUUGAAACAUAUAGUUAAAGGAGGAUUUAGUAGUAAGAAGAAAAUAGAGCGUUCUACUGAAACCGGCACUUAAGCGCGCACACACCGCCCGUC